UGGCACGACAAAGUACCGCUAUGAGAGCUGUCGGUGUUUUGCUGUGCUUUUCUGUGUUUACGGGAGUCUUCAUGGAGGAUAAAGAAGCCCCACGUUUUCAAGCAUGUCUCGGGCUUGAGGUGUAUGAGGGGGCAGAGUCUGUCAUGCUGCCCUGUCAGGUACCAGAGGAUGUUUACCGGGACGCCACAGCAGUGGUUUGGGACCGCAAGGACCUCAGCAUCCCAACAGUCCAUCUGCGUCUGCUGAGCGGGGAUGAUCUCACGAAACAGAAUGUUAUUUACUUCAACCGAACAUCGAUGAGAGCCAACGCUCUGCAGACUGGAGACCUCAGCCUCACUCUGAGGAACCCCAUAGUCAAUGACACCGGCACCUACACCUGCACCAUCCGCAAAUAUGGACAAGAUCAGAGCAAGACCCAUUUGCAACUGAAGGUGGCAGAACGUCCUCCUCCUGGUCCCACUCCUCCUCCAGUCUGGCCCAAAGUUGUCUCGGGUGUCCUGGUUCCUGUGGUUCUCCUGGCUGUUGGCUUUGGUGUCUUCAUGUAUUUUAGAUAUAAAAAGUUAAAGAACAAAGAAGUCGUUCAGGUCACAGCAGAACCAGGUGAUGAGUCCGUUGUGCUGACCUGCAGAAGCACAGUUCAGCCCCUGCCUGAUGGUGCUAAAGUGGAGUGGAAGGACAGAAAUGAGAGGAAGGUCCACAUAUAUCAGAAAGACUCUGAGCAGGCUGAAAAACUGCACAGACGUUACAGAAACCGAACAGAGAUGAAGAAAGACCCGCAGAAGACUGGAGACCUCAGUCUGACCCUGAAAUACCCCACAAACACAGAUAGAGACACCUACACCUGCACCGUCUACGGCAGGGAGGGAAAAGAACUAAUGGAGAAACAGGUGGAGCUGAAAAUCAAAGAGUGUCAGGUGGAGGUGGUGGAGGGGGUGGAGUCUGUCCUGCUGCCCUUCAAAACCACAGAAAACCUGCCUGAGGACAGUGAUGUGGAGUGGAAACGCCAUGAACCCGAAUACAUGAAGGUCUAUGUGUAUGAGAACGGCUCUGACCGGCCCGACAAACAGGACGACCAUUACAGAGGUCGCACUGAGAUGAAGAAAGACCUGCUGAACACUGGAGACCUCAGUCUGACCCUGGGACACCCCACAGUGGGAGAUAGUGGGAGAUACGCCUGUGAGGUCAACAGCAAGGGGGCCUGGAGAUACAAGAGGGUGUGGCUCACAGUUAAAGAGAGAGAUCAGGUCCAGGAUCAAGCCGAGGACAACAACACUAUUGAAAUGACUCCUCUGAUGGACCAACAAUCAGCUUAAUCUGACUGGUCUGUGAGUCAGAGAGAAAACACCAGUAAUGGACUGAAGGGGAUGAAGAGGGAACGAUGCUGAGUUCCUCCACGUUCUGUGAGGAUGUUUUCUGAGCUGUUCACACAGCUGAACCCUGCAGUGACCGUAGCUCAGCUCACUCAUGUAGCAUCAGCUGUUUGAUUUGUUACCACAUUACCUUAGCACAAACAACACUCAUGAUGUGCAUUUUAUUGUUACUUUAUAUUUUACUUACCCAUAAUGCCUUGAUGUUCAGGUCUCAGCUGUGAUCUGGGUGCUGUUUAGUUGAUGUUUGGACCUCAUGUCUGCACGUUCUGAGCAGGUUUGGGUGGAGGUCAUAGAAGAAACUAAUCCUCAGUACUCACAGAGGACCACCUCCCUCCAACAGUCUGUCUGGGCGCUCUCUGACACAUUUAGCUCCUCACAACACCUCAAAGUGUGAAGGAAGCAGUGACUCAGAUAACCAAUCAUUACAACCAAGGUGUGGAGUUCAUCUUCAGACAGUCUGAAGACACGUGUGUGAGGUUAUCUGUGGAUUCUGAAUAUGCUGUGGAUGUUGGGAUUGUAGCUCUGAGCUCACACUGGCUGAUAACGUCUCACCUUCCAGGACUGCUGACUAACAGCUAACGCUGCAUGAACUCCUGCACAAGGUGAUGUGAUGGCACUGCUGACGUGUUCAUCCCAUAAUGACCUCAGUGCAUCAUCCUGUGAUUCCAGCAGGAAAACAAACCUAAUAUCAGACAUAACGAUUAGUUCACUGCACUCAGACGCCUCCACAGUCACAGGUCUCUCCAGCAGAGCAUCUUUGGUAGAGUGACAUCAUAAAUGUGCAGCCUGUGUGUGAUGACAUCACAUUAGCAUGGACCCAAACCCCUGAGGAUGUCUCCAGCACUGAUGAAUCUGUGUCAUUAACAAACAAGGGACCAGGCACGGUGUACCUAAUAAAGUGGCCAUCGAGAAUGCCUCUACGCGAUGUCUCCAUCUCAAGUGUCUCCAGCAGGGGGAGACGUCUGAUCAUUUAUUGUCACAGUGGCAUGCCACUGCACACACUCAUGGCCACUUUAUUAGGCACACCUGUUCCGCUGCAUGGCAGCAGCUCUGUGCUUGUGUACCUAAUAAAGUGGCCCUGUGUGUGUAUUUACUUGUGCAAAUAAGAGUUCAACGUGCUUUAAAGUUCUAUGAGAUACAGAACCCACAGUCACAGGAAAGGAGCUGAGUGUCUGACACUGUUUUGUUUUACAGAUGAGAGAGAGCACAGAGGGAGAACAUUGUAGUGAAUCUGUGAAGUCAACAUCGAGGCCCCACUGAGAUGAGAGCCACUGACAACCACAGACCUCAGUCUGACCCUGAAACACCCCCAUCCCGACCACAGUGGUGCCUACAUCCUUAGACAGAGAAAACUGUCUUUUCUCAGACUUUGUCAGAGAUUCAUACACUCAGCCUCCUGAACGCUAACAUCUCUGUUAUGAAGCUUAUCACACAUUUGAUUUCCAUGUGUGACGACUGCAAGUGUCCAGAGUGAGGACAG